rnacentral:rasiRNA from 1 species
GAGUCCAAGAGAUUUGCCCCCGAGGA